GUGGGUAGUUUGACUGGGGCGGUCUCCUCCUAAAGAGUAACGGAGGAGCACGAAGGUUGGCUAAUCCUGGUCGGACAUCAGGAGGUUAGUGCAAUGGCAUAAGCCAGCUUGACUGCGAGCGUGACGGCGCGAGCAGGUGCGAAAGCAGGUCAUAGUGAUCCGGUGGUUCUGAAUGGAAGGGCCAUCGCUCAACGGAUAAAAGGUACUCCGGGGAUAACAGGCUGAUACCGCCCAAGAGUUCAUAUCGACGGCGGUGUUUGGCACCUCGAUGUCGGCUCAUCACAUCCUGGGGCUGAAGUAGGUCCCAAGGGUAUGGCUGUUCGCCAUUUAAAGUGGUACGCGAGCUGGGUUUAGAACGUCGUGAGACAGUUCGGUCCCUAUCUGCCGUGGGCGCUGGAGAACUGAGGGGGGCUGCUCCUAGUACGAGAGGACCGGAGUGGACGCAUCACUGGUGUUCGGGUUGUCAUGCCAAUGGCACUGCCCGGUAGCUAAAUGCGGAAGAGAUAAGUGCUGAAAGCAUCUAAGCACGAAACUUGCCCCGAGAUGAGUUCUCCCUGAGACUUUAGGUCUCCUGAAGGAACGUUGAAGACGACGACGUUGAUAGGCCGGGUGUGUAAGCG
rnacentral:rRNA from 1 species